GACGAACGCUGGCGGCGUGCUUAACACAUGCAAGUCGAACGGAAAGGCCCUGCUUUUGUGGGGUGCUCGAGUGGCGAACGGGUGAGUAACACGUGAGUAACCUGCCCGUGACUUUGGGAUAACUUCAGGAAACUGGGGCUAAUACCUGAUAUGAGCUCCUGCUGCAUGGUGGGGGUUGGAAAGUGUCGGCGGUUGGGGAUGGACUCGCGGCUUAUCAGCUUGUUGGUGGGGUAGUGGCUUACCAAGGCUUUGACGGGUAGCCGGCCUGAGAGGGUGACCGGCCACAUUGGGACUGAGCUACGGCCCAGACUCCUACGGGAGGCAGCAGUGGGGAAUAUUGCACAAUGGGCGGAAGCCUGAUGCAGCAACGCCGCGUGCGGGAUGACGGCCUUCGGGUUGUAAACCGCUUUCGCCUGUGACGAAGCGUGAGUGACGGUAAUGGGUAAAGAAGCACCGGCUAACUACGUG
rnacentral:rRNA from 1 species